rnacentral:lncRNA from 1 species
CUCCGUGUCAGCUGACUUCACUUCCUUCUCCAUGUCAGCUGACUUCUCUGCCUUCUCUGUGUCAGCUGACUUCUCUUCCUUCUCCAUGUCAGCUGACUUCUCUGCCUUCUCUGUGUCAGCUGACUUCUCUGCCUUCUCUGUGUCAACUGACUUCACCUCCUUCUCCGUGCCAGCUGACUUCACCUCCUUCUCCAUGUCAGCUGACUUCUCUUCCUUCUCCCUGUCAGCUGACUUCUCUUCCUUCUCCGUGUCAGC